CACGGAGUUAGCCGGUGCUUCUUCUGUCAGUAACGUCAAUGCAUGAAAGUAUUAAUUUCACACCCUUCCUCCUGACUGAAAGUACUUUACAACCCGAAGGCCUUCUUCAUACACGCGGCAUGGCUGCAUCAGGCUUGCGCCCAUUGUGCAAUAUUCCCCACUGCUGCCUCCCGUAGGAGUCUGGACCGUGUCUCAGUUCCAGUGUGGCUGGUCAUCCUCUCAGACCAGCUAGGGAUCGUCGCCUAGGUAAGCCAUUACCUUACCUACUAGCUAAUCCCAUCUGGGUUCAUCUGAUGGUGCGAGGCCCGAAAGUCCCCCGCUUUGGUCUUGCGACAUUAUGCGGUAUUAGCUACCGUUUCCAGUAGUUAUCCCCCUCCAUCAGGCAGAUCCCCAGACAUUACUCACCCGUCCGCCACUCGUCAGCAAAGUAGCAAGCUACUCUCUGUUACCGUUCGACUUGCAUGUGUUAGGCCUGCCGCCAGCGUUA
rnacentral:rRNA from 1 species